rnacentral:lncRNA from 1 species
AUGGCACAAACGAGCGUGGAGGCCGACGGGGGUGCGGGAGAGAAUGGAGUCCGGCGAUUGCACCACUCACCCGUGAGUCACCCCAGCAACAGGGCCCAAGCCAGAGAGGAGAUCAGAGUGUCAACGUGUCUGUGUAACGACCCCCGCCCCAGCUCUCCGGCUGUCCAUCAUCCACUCUGAUGACCCGG